rnacentral:rRNA from 1 species
CGUUCCCGGGUCUUGUACACACCGCCCGUCACACCACGAAAGUCGGCAACACCCGAAGCCGGUGGCCUAACCCGCAAGGGAGGGAGCCGCCGAAGGUGGGGCUGGCGAUUGGGGUG